GGGGUCGAUCUCCCGGAGCUGCUAGGCAAUUCGUCUCACUCUGAAGCUCUCAGGCUGGGUUGGAGGUCACUUUUGAGACCUGGGCUGUGACUCUCCAGGAAUCCUCCAGCCCUUCACUGGGAGCAUUAAGUACCAAGCAAUCAGCAAGUACAGACGGCCACUGUUGGUGUCCUCACAGAAAGUCUCAGGGAGGCUGAGCCUGUCACGGAGAUGUUCCUCACCGCUCUUCUCUGUGUGUCCCAUCUUACUGUUCGCUCAGCUGACCUGUUCAAGCCAAAGUCUCUCACAACGUCAGCCCUUCUGGUGGCAUAGGCCACUCCAGCUGUCCUCGUGUAGGUGGCUCUACAACUCCCUCCCUGCCUGUCACCCCUACUUCUCUUGCUUUCCACUGUCCUCUCUUCACCCGUUCUCUGUCCAA